rnacentral:tRNA from 4 species
GGAAAGAUGGCCGAGUGGUUGAAGGUGUAGCACUGGAACUGCUAUGUAAGCUUUCCGUUUACCGAGGGUUCGAAUCCCUCUCUUUCCU